rnacentral:lncRNA from 1 species
UUGUAACGUGCUUGAGCUAAGAAGAACAUUGGAUUUCUAGAUCACAAAAUCCUUGAGUCAAGAAAGUUAUUCACAUUUAUAAUUUAAGCACAAACUCUCUUUAAACAACCAAUCUUACUCAUUCUCAACUUUCCCUUUUCUUUGCAUUGAGCUUUUCUUCUCAUUCUAUCUUUUCUAUCUUUUUCAUCUUUUCAUGUUUGCUCAUCACAUUAGCUCCAUGCUUAUCUUUUCUUUUUCAAUUUUCCCAUUAGCCCCAAACUCGAACCUUUAUCAAUACCACACAAUAUUUCUCAACUUGACUCAAGGUAAAGAUUUUCAAAAGGGUUUUCAGAUAUUGUUUAGGGCUUAAGUUCAAAAAGGGUAGAACACAUUGUUCUCUUUUUAAUUGGGACGAAAAUUUUUGCAUUGGCUAAGAAAGGGCUAAAUCAAAAAUGGCCUUGAUCAUAUGACACAAAUAAGCAAGUGAUUCAAUCAUAGAAACCUGG